rnacentral:sRNA from 1 species
AGAAGGGGUGAUGAGUGAGAGGCGAGUAGUAGUGGACUUGCCCACCAGUGCCAGCUCCAGCAUGCCCCUCCAGAGGCGCAGGGCAUCCUUCAGGGGGCCACGGUCAUCAUCCUCCCUGGAGAGCCCCCCAGCCUCCAGGACCAAUGCCAUGAGUGGCCUUGUCCGAGCACCUGGGGUCUAUGUAGGAACAGCACCCAGUGGGUGCAUAGGUGGCCUGGGUGCCCGUGUGACCCGCCGGGCCCUCGGCAUCAGCAGUGUCUUCCUUCAGGGCCUGCGGAGCUCAGGCCUGGCCACCGUGCCGGCUCCAGGUUUGGAGAGGGACCAUGGUGCUGUUGAGGACCUAGGGGGCUGCCUGGUGGAAUAUAUGGCCAAAGUGCAUGCCCUUGAGCAAGUCAGUCAGGAGCUGGAAACACAACUGCGGAUGCACCUGGAGAGCAAAGCCACACGCUCGGGAAACUGGGGUGCCCUACGGGCUUCCUGGGCCAGCAGCUGCCAGCAGCUGUGUUAGAACCUCCAAGCCU